UUAGCAUAUCAAUAAGCGGGGGAAAAGAAACCAACAGGGAUUGCCCUAGUAACGGCGAGUGAAGCGGCAACAGCUCAAAUUUGAAAUCUGGCUCUCGGGCCCGAGUUGUAAUUUGUAGAGGAUACUUUUGAUGCGGUGCCUUCCGAGUUCCCUGGAACGGGACGCCAUAGAGGGUGAGAGCCCCGUCUGGUUGGAUGCCAAAUCUCUGUAAAGUUCCUUCAACGAGUCGAGUAGUUUGGGAAUGCUGCUCUAAAUGGGAGGUAUAUGUCUUCUAAAGCUAAAUACCGGCCAGAGACCGAUAGCGCACAAGUAGAGUGAUCGAAAGAUGAAAAGCACUUUGAAAAGAGAGUUAAAAAGUACGUGAAAUUGUUGAAAGGGAAGCGUUUAUGACCAGACUUGGGCUUGGUUAAUCAUCUGGGGUUCUCCCCAGUGCACUUUUCCAGUCCAGGCCAGCAUCAGUUUUCCCCGGGGGAUAAAGGCGGCGGGAAUGUGGCUCUCUUCGGGGAGUGUUAUAGCCCGUCGUGUAAUACCCUGGGGGGGACUGAGGUUCGCGCAUCUGCAAGGAUGCUGGCGUAAUGGUCAUCAACGACCCGUCUUGAAACACGGACCAAGGAGUCGUCUUCGUAUGCGAGUGUUCGGGUGUCAAACCCCUACGCGUAAUGAAAGUGAACGCAGGUGAGAGCUUCGGCGCAUCAUCGACCGAUCCUGAUGUUCUCGGAUGGAUUUGAGUAAGAGCAUACGGGGCCGGACCCGAAAGAAGGUGAACUAUGCCUGUAUAGGGUGAAGCCAGAGGAAACUCUGGUGGAGGCUCGCAGCGGUUCUGACGUGCAAAUCGAUCGUCAAAUAUGGGCAUGGGGGCGAAAGACUAAUCGAACCUUCUAGUAGCUGGUUUCCGCCGAAGU
rnacentral:rRNA from 1 species